GACAAGGGCCAGUGUGUGCGAUCGCGUGCCACCGGACAGUGCAGUCCUUUCUAGAAUGGCCCUGGGAUCCGAGAACAAGGUCACCGGCAUUCUGCGGCCUGGGGCGCUGCCCCAGCUCUCCAAGUCUCAGUUUCCCUUUCGUGUGAUGUGACGCUAGCAAACCCGGCCUGACGACCUGCUGAGGUUGUUGUGGAGACGGAAGGAGCUAAUAAAGCACGCAAAAGCAGCCUGUGACUCUGUGAAGCCGGAAGCCUGACAAAGCCCUGGCUCUGUUCCUGGGCAUUGUGCCGGCGGCCGGGGAAGGACAGCAACCUCUCCUGUGUCCAGUGCUGUGCAUGCAGACCGCUGGCCUGGGUGCUCUUUGAUGGGAUGGCGCCACCCCAAGCAGAAUGAAACCGCCAGCUGCUGGCCUCUUUUUCGGAUUAGCUUGACAGCCUCAACACAGAGGUGAACUCCAAAGACCCUCAUCAUCUUCUGCCACAAACUGCCACAGAAUAAACGCUCCUGUGUUCGUGUGAUGUCCUGCCCCGGGAGUCAGGUCCUAAUUGCUGUCAAAUGUUCAGAGAUAAAAGUGGCGUCUACACAUCAUUCACGCGAAGGCUGUUCCUGGCUGUGAACUGUGGUGGUGGCGGCGGCGACAGCAGCGGCUGCAACACAGGCUGCGUGGCGGGCCGUACCUGGCAGCACCCGGCUGCUCAGAGCUGGCUUUCCUGCUUCCGCGUGUCAGCCCGAACACUUUUCUUUGUUGCUGCUUGCAGCCCCGCACUCCCAUGUGCCGGGAGCCUCGCACCCUUCUGUUAGGAUCAAUAACUGCACCUCUCGAGUUCAGACUGUCUCUUGGCGUCAGUCUGACAUGCAAAUCUGGGCAGGACCAAGAGAGGGCCCAUUUAUCCCGUCACAGAUUGGGGGGGCGCGCGGGAAGCGGUUCACGUGUGGCCCCCUCAAGAGCCCCGCUGCCACAGAGCAGACAGGUAAUCCCAACAGCCAGGACCCUGCCAGUCAGCCACUGGCCGUCGGGCUGGGUGCACAUUCAUCUUCAAAUUAUGUUGUGUGACAGCCCGGGCUGCGGAACACCAUUUUAACAUGCAGAUUGACUCCUCCGAGGCUCUUCAUUAUGCAUUUAGCGGCCUGUUUUCAGACUAACCAGCAUGUCAGGGAGGCCCGCUCUCCCUUCUCCACCUGCGGGGAGCAAACAGCUCCGGACUGUGGGGGAGCCGCACGUAUUCAGAUGCAUAUGUUUACUUUCCCGAGCAUCUGCACACAGCAGCUUUCUCUGAUGCAAGAGGAGGAGAAGAAGAAAAGACCUUUGGUUCUGAAAGUCAAGGAAAAUGGCUAUGCACACAAGGGAGCCUUUGUGGAGGAGAGGAGUCGGCCAGGCCAGGCCGGCCUGAUGCCCGCCCGGCUGUCCUGAGCCUGCCUGGGUGCGUCCACACAAGCGCUGCUCUUAUUGGCACACAGACCCUCUCUUUCUCUCACACACACAGCCUGAAGUAUUUUAAGCAGAACACUUCCAAUUUCCUGUUUCUAAAACUGUCUUGCAUCUCCAGCGGCAUUCCAAGCAAUCCUGGGGAGUGACAGGACGAGCCUCCUUAGUGAGUGAGCGCAGUAGGGUGAGGUGGCUCGGGGGUUACCUAGGGGGCUCUGGGUCCCUUUGUCAGCCCUUCCCUCUUCUCUUCCUAGUGCGACUGACUUCUCCUUGCUGGGGACAUUUCUCUGUGGCCCGGGGUUACGAUGGCAUGAACACGGAUGUUUUCCUGUGUGUGAGCAUAUGUGUGUGUGUGUCUCCUGUCCCGAGGGUCUCUUUCCCUUCCUUAAAAGGAACCACAUUUGCAUUGGCCGGGUGGCUCAGUUGGUUGGAGUAUCAUCCCAUACACCGAAACGCUGCUGGUUCCAUCCCGGGUCAGGGCACAUACGGGAGGCAGCCAAUCACUGUUUUUCUCAUACAUCG